GAUGAACGCUGGCGGCGUGCCUAAUACAUGCAAGUCGAGCGAACAGACGAGGAGCUUUCUCCUCUGACGUUAGCGGCGGACGGGUGAGUAACACGUGGAUAACCUACCUAUAAGACUGGGAUAACUUCGGGAAACCGGAGCUAAUACCGGAUAAUAUAUUGAACCGCAUGGUUCAAUAGUGAAAGACGGUUUUGCUGUCACUUAUAGAUGGAUCCGCGCCGGAUUAGCUAGUUGGUAAGGUAACGGCUUACCAAGGCAACGAAGCGUAGCCGACCUGAGAGGGUGAUCGGCCACACUGGAACUGAGAAACGGUCCAGACUCCUACGGGAGGCAGCAGUAGGGAAUCUUCCGCAAUGGGCGAAAGCCUGACAGAGCAACGCCGCGUGAGUGAUGAAGGUCUUCGGAUCGUAAAGCUCUGUUAUUAGGAAAGAACAAAUGCGUAUGUAACCAUGCACGUCUUGACGGUACCUAAUCAGAAAGCUCCGGCUAACUACGUG
rnacentral:rRNA from 1 species